rnacentral:rRNA from 1 species
UUGAACGCUGGCGGCAGGCCUAACACAUGCAAGUCGAACGGUAACAGAAAGCAGCUUGCUGCUUUGCUGACGAGUGGCGGACGGGUGAGUAAUGUCUGGGAAACUGCCUGAUGGAGGGGGAUAACUACUGGAAACGGUAGCUAAUACCGCAUAACGUCGCAAGACCAAAGAGGGGGACCUUCGGGCCUCUUGCCAUCGGAUGUGCCCAGAUGGGAUUAGCUAGUAGGUGGGGUAAAGGCUCACCUAGGCGACGAUCCCUAGCUGGUCUGAGAGGAUGACCAGCCACACUGGAACUGAGACACGGUCCAGACUCCUACGGGAGGCAGCAGUGGGGAAUAUUGCACAAUGGGCGCAAGCCUGAUGCAGCCAUGCCGCGUGUGUGAAGAAGGCCUUCGGGUUGUAAAGUACUUUCAGCGGGGAGGAAGGGAGUAAAGUUAAUACCUUUGCUCAUUGACGUUACCCGCAGAAGAAGCACCGGCUAACUCCGUG